CCUACGGGUGGCAGCAGUGAGGAAUAUUGGUCAAUGGACGAGAGUCUGAACCAGCCAAGUAGCGUGAAGGAUGACUGCCCUAUGGGUUGUAAACUUCUUUUAUAAAGAAAUAAAACGAGGCACGUGUGCCUUUUUGCAUGUACUUUAUGAAUACGGAUCGGCUAACUCCGCGUCAGCAGCCGCGGUAAUACGGAGGAUCCGAGCGUUAUCCGGAUUUAUUGGGUUUAGAGGGAGCGUAGAUGGGUUGUUAAGUCAGUUGUGAAAGUUUGCGGCUCAACCGUAAGAUUGCAAUUGAUACUGGAAGUCUUGAGUACAGUUGAGGUAGGCGGAAUUCGUGGUGUAGCGGUGAAAUGCUUAGAUAUCACGAAGAACCCCGAUUGCGAAGGCAGCUUACUAAACUGUGACUGACAUUGAUGCUCGAAGGUGUGGGUAUCAAACAGGAUUAGAUACCCUUGUAGUC
rnacentral:rRNA from 1 species